AUUGAACGCUGGCGGCAGGCCUAACACAUGCAAGUCGAACGAGUGGCGGACGGGUGCGUAAUGUAUGGGAAAAUGCCUGAUGGAGGGGGAUAACUACUGGAUACGGUAGCUAAUACCGUCUACAAUCGGAUGAGCCCGGAUGGGAUUAGCUAGUAGGUGGGGAAAAGGCUCACCUAGGCGACGAUCCCUAGCUGUUCUGAGAGGAUGACCAGACACACUGGAACUGAUACACGGUCCAGACUCCUACGUGAGGCAGCAGUGGGGAAUAUUGCACAAUGGGCGCAAGCCUGAUGCAGCCAUGCCGCGUGUAUGAAGAAGGCCUUCGGGUUGUAAAGUAUUUUCAGCGGGGAGGCGUUACCCGCAGAAGAAGCACCGGCUAACUCCGUGCCAGCAGCCGCGGUAAUUC
rnacentral:rRNA from 1 species